rnacentral:rRNA from 1 species
AGUGAACGCUGGCGGUAGGCCUAACACAUGCAAGUCGAGCGGCAGCACAGUAAGAGCUUGCUCUUACGGGUGGCGAGUGGCGGACGGGUGGGGAAUACAUCGGAAUCUACUUUUUCGUGGGGGAUAACGUAGGGAAACUUACGCUAAUACCGCAUACGACCUACGGGUGAAAGCAGGGGAUCUUCGGACCUUGCGCGAUUGAAUGAGCCGAUGUCGGAUUAGCUAGUUGGCGGGGUAAAGGCCCACCAAGGCGACGAUCCGUAGCUGGUCUGAGAGGAUGAUCAGCCACACUGGAACUGAGACACGGUCCAGACUCCUACGGGAGGCAGCAGUGGGGAAUAUUGGACAAUGGGCGCAAGCCUGAUCCAGCCAUACCGCGUGGGUGAAGAAGGCCUUCGGGUUGUAAAGCCCUUUUGUUGGGAAAGAAAAGCAGCAGGUUAAUACCCCGCUGUUCUGACGGUACCCAAAGAAUAAGCACCGGCUAACUUCGUG